rnacentral:lncRNA from 1 species
CUCUCUUUAGAGUGGCGUGCCCCAAGCUAGUUCUCUCUCUCUCUCUCUUUCUCUCUCUCUCUUGUUCUCUAAAGUAAGAUUUAGUUAGAUGAAGUGAGGCAAAGUGAGUUGGUCUUAGAUGAUCUUAGUGAGAGAAAGUUGAAUUGAGCUCCAUUAAAGCUUAAUCAAAGCUCUAUCAAUUUAGAUUUAUCAGAAAGCAUCGUGGUGUUCAGUUUGAGUGAGAUCUUCUUCAACCUUGAAGUAAUCCAUGAUUGCAAAACAUCAUUUAUAGCAAGGUAUCUCUAUCUCCUAGUUUCUUGAAGAGGUUUUGAUAUCUAAGAUUGAUCUAUGUCAUUUCUUGAAGAGGUUUUGAUAUCUAAGAUUGAUCUAUGUCUUUAAGGGUGUGAUCUAUAGUUGAUUGUGUUGAUCUUUUGAGGGAAUUUUCAUCGAGUUUUAUAGGAUUUAAUUGACCAGACUUUCUGAGAAUUUUGGGAUCAGAAUUAGUCAAUUAAAUCACAUAAUUGGUAGAAUAUUUUGGAGAAUUUCUAAGGGAUACUCCAAGCUAUGCUCGUUUGAUUACGAGCUAGAUCUUGAAGUUUUGUGCCACCAUAUUCUCCCCCAUUUUUCCUACUUGCUUGAUACCAUUUUUGAAAGGUUAUUUCACCAUUAAAAGUGAAAAAUCCAAGAUGCAAAUUCUUCAUGUUGUGUUGAUAGUGUAAAAUUGGCCAUAACUGUGAUAUUUACCUUCACAUGUCACUCUAGUAUAUAGCUAGGACCUUGGCCAUAAAUUGGGCACCAAGAGCUUUUUAAGGCUUCCCAUGAUCAUGUUACUUAGUACUUGAGCAUUUAUGUGUUUGUAAUGUGGAGAUCAAAUUUUGAUGUGUUUGUAUUAAAAAUUGAUCUAUAAUUUUGCAUUGUAAUUUUGUAUAGUGCUAAAAUUUCAAGAGCAUUGGUAAUGAGUGUAUAUACUUGAUCUCCUUGCAUGAUUUAUUUUUACAAAGAACCCAAAGUAAGUUGUAUCCUCAUUGUAAAGAGUGCAUGGAAGGUUUUUUAGUGGUUGUAACUUGGUUUUAUGUGGCUGUAAUUGAGGCAAAAAGUGCCAUAUGUCUUGUAAGCAUGUAAAAUUGAAGUUGUAUUGCCAAAAUUAAGUGUAAAUUUCAAGAGUUAUACCUUAAUCUUGGUUUCCUAUACUAUCAAGUGGUAUCAUGACCAAGCUCUAAAAGAGGUUCCUUUGUCCAUUUUUGUUGAGUUUUGGAGUGUAUUAAAGUUGUUCUUCAAGUACAUGGUCAUGGCAGCAAGCUAUUGUGACCGAGCUCCUUAAGAAUGAGAAAUUUAAUUGCUCCAAUUACCUAGAGUGGAGAAGGAAGGUUGAUUAUGUGCUUCAUGAGAAAGGGCUGAUACCUCGCAUUACUCAAGAUCCUCGUCAUGAACCUAGAUCCAAUGCCACAAAAGUUACAAGAGGUUCCUACAUGAUUUGGAUAACUCGGAAUCAAAGUGCUAAAAAUAUUCUACUAGCUACUAUGUGAUACACAUAUGCUCGAGAAUAUUGUUGGGGUUGUGGCCUUUUAGGGCCUUGACACUGAAAUUUUCUACAGUUCUUAGUCCCAAAAAAUGUGACUACUGGAUUUGUGCGAACUGGAAUUCGGAGCUGCACCAAAACCUUGAAGCAUGAGGCUUGAUUUAAGGGGCAUUAUAACAAAAAGGGUUUGACGGUUCCCUUGAUCAGGGUCGGUGAGUUCGCCUCAUAAUUGGUUUGAGCCAGGGCGUAAUAUUUCACCUCAUAAUCGGUUUGAGACUUUUGGAGAUUAUCUUUUAGGAAUUUUUAUAUUUUUUUGGAAUUUUUUAAGGUAAAAUUCUCUUAAAAUAAAUUCUUUUGAUCAAUUUCGCCUAAAGACAGGUCCCAUAAGGCCCAAAUGGCCAAUGGACCUCACAAGGAAUGUCCACAUGGCUGAUGAUGUCAGCCUCACAUAAGCCUAGUGGGUGAUGUCAGCCACAAAAGUGGGCGUCCCCCGUUUCUCUCUUGAGGGUGCUUUUGCAAUGUUCGGAUUGUUGCCUGGGUAGAUAGUUUGAUCCUUCAUUUUUUUCCUAAAAUCAUAAGUUUUAAACCAAUGGGAGCUUAGAUCCAAAAGAACUUUAUUAGGCGUUAAUCUCUCAUUACUCACAUUGAGUUUAUGAUAUGAAGUGUGUUAUGACGCACCACAUUUGUAGAGGGCUUGAGGUGUUGAGUGAGAAAAUACCUUCAUUUCAAAUUCAACAUAUUUUUUUUGGUAAGUAAAAAGAUAAGUCAGUGGGGAUUUGGGCCCUACCUUUUGGUGAGAAUGGAACAUAGUUUUUUUGGUAAGUAAAAAGAUGAGUCAGUGGGGAUUUGGGCCCUACCUUUUGGUGAGAAUGGAGUAAGAGAUUUCAUCAUAGAACCGUUGGUACUAUCACGUAGGCUCCAACCCAUUAUCUAAAAAAGGUAAAGUCUAAGGGAAUUUUUGGGCCCUACCCUUUGAUGAAAAUGGAGCCAACGACUUCACCACAAAAACUCGUUUUAGAGUGAGCAUAAUUUUUGUAGAGAAUUGACGGGUAUUGCCCUCCUUAUGAUUUUAUCUUCUUAUAGUAUUCCGAAAGUAAGGGAAAAUGAGAUUUUAUAAAAUUAAUUAGUUUGAAAAAUUUGAAGUUGCCUCACUCAUGUGAGGAUAUGGUGGAGGAUUGCAACCACACAUCUAUAAUCGAUAGAUGCGAGGUUCGAUGACUAAGAUCUUGCCUCUCUCCAAGCUUUUAAUGCUCAAAAUUUGUGAUCUCAAUUCAAUCUAACAAAAGGCCAACUAAAGAACCCUAGCUACUCUCUAUAAAUACCCAUUAUCUCUUAAACUCUAAUAAACCUUUAAAAAGAGAGAAUCCCAACGUGUGGUUUUGAGAGAAACAUGCAGAGAUAGUUAGAGGAAGAGAGCCCUUUCCUUGUUUCAUUAUCUGUACACCCAUAGAGUAUGUAUUGGUGGCCAAUCUUGGAGCACAGAAGGAGUACCUUUGGUGAAUUUUAGCUCGUUGUUUCUUACUGUUCUUGUACAUUUAUAGUGAGGUAAAUUAUCCUUUUUCUUGGUUCAAUUGCCAUUCCUUCCAUGCAUGUCUAUUUCUACACUACCUCGAAUGACUAUGCAUUGAAUUGAAUCCAUUUCCCUAACAUUUGGGUAAGUAUUUCUUUGCAAAAGUUACUGCACUUUGUGACCCAUAUAAACAGCCCAUCACCUUAAAAAGUUAUAUUUUACAAGGGGUCAUAAUGCUAACAUUUUUCCCCUUAGACUCCAUUAAUAUUUUCAUGCUCCAUAAAGUACUAUUGUACUCCACGUGCCAUUACCCUUGAUAUGCCUCAUAUAAUAGUUCCAUUUGAUGGGUUGUGGUGAUGAUAUGAGUUUAGCCUUGCUGAUAUAUACUUCCUAUUAAAUUGCAUUGAGAUUAGACCACUUGUGUCUUACUGUCGGGAAGGUUUGUGACUAAGAUCUUAAUCGGCCAAAUUUGUUUAUGAAAUUGGAUUCCCAUGAUUUAGAGACCGUACAAUUUUGGUUUUAUAUAUAUUUGAGAUUGGCUGAAGUUUGUGUAUUUAAUGGUUAUGUUAUUCAUGUCAAUGAACUGGUCGAGUUGAGAACUGUUUUGGAUGUAAUUUGUUUAUAUAACUUUGUGUUGUGGCCAAAUCUCUAUAUUGAGUUUAAAGUGGAACUAGUAACGGACCAAUCAGUUGUCUUGUAAUUUGUAAUUUGGUGUGUGUUUAAUUGUGUAUUUAUGAGUUAAAAAGACUUCUUUCUUACUGUAAUUUCAGUCUUGAGGCUAUAAUUUGGAUAUUUUAUUAAAAUUUUUAUAAGUUGUAGUACCUUGACACCCUAACAAAGAUGAAGAGUGUAUGUCAGUCAAAGAAAUCUCAGAAAAUAUGAAGAAAACACAAGAUACUUCCUCUUACCCUGGCAAGAUCUUGAUUAUGAGGAAGUUUCUUUAUUAUGGGAUGCCGGAGCAUUUUAAGAUUGAUGAUCAAGUGAGAACCCUUAAGCAUAUAGUUAAGGAUGUGGAGGCGGCCGGCAUGUGCCUACUCAAACCACUGUCUUCUCGACUGCUCUUUCUCCUUCAUGGGAGAAUUUCUUGGCGAAUUUGAUGGUUCGUGACACUCCUACAUCUACAUCCAUUGAGGACAUCACCUUCUUCCUUUAGGCCAAAGAGUAGCUACAAUCGGUGAGCUUGAAUGGACCAAAGACCGUAAACUCUAAUCCCUCCUGUUCUCUUCCAGCCCAUAAUGUGAAUGCAGGAGGUACAAUAAAAAUGCUAAAAGGAAGAAAGGGAAAAGGAAAGAUGAACAAGCCAAAGAGAAAAAGCCACCAUAUCGAUCAGGGGGUAAUAACCAAAUGGAAAAUGCCUUUAAUCAUAGGGGAAAACCACCAUAUCAGCCCAAUCACUUUUGUAAUGUGCAAUGCCAGAGGAGUAAGAGAUAAAUCCACCGCUUUCUAAUCGGUUUUUUUGUAGUCUUGAAAACGUGUUUUUAAUGUUUUAAUCAAAAUAAUGAAUUUUUCCUUGUAUUUUCUAAAUAAUACAGUUUAAAAUGUAUUACAACAAAAUGACGCCUUUUUGUAAAAGUCGUUAUUUUCAGUGCGACUUGCUAACUAUGUCUGUGACUUUUGAUGUGAUGAUCGGGAUCCAUACGUAGUGUCUUGAUUCUGGUCUUGUAAGAAUGUUAAGCCUGACACUCACACACAUGCAUGGGAGGAAACUAAAAGGAACAAUCUAGGCUAUGACGAUUAUAUGUGAUGAAUUAUUACUUUGGAAUUUAAGAUUGGAUCAUAACAGUAAAUCAAGAAUGGAAAGAUUAAUGAGCGAUGAUCUUUUUCAGAAGAUGAUGUGGAUUUUCAAAAUAAGUGUGAGGCUGUCUAUUUUCAAAUUAAGUGUGAGCGAUGUAGACAAGGAAAAAUGAUUAAAAAAUCCCAUAACAAUGUUUAAAGGACUACGAGCCUGUUCGAAUUAAAUCACACCGAUAUAUGCGGUCCUAUGAGUGUGGCCUUAAAAAGACAUGAUAUAUUUAUUAUAUUCAUUGAUGAUCACUCCUGGUAUUGCCAUGCGUAUCUCCUCCAAAAUAAAAACUUUAAUAACAUUCAUAGAAUAUAAGGCCGAGGUUAAAAACCAAGUAGGUAACAAAAUUAAGAACCUUGGUUCGGAUUGAGGUGGUGAGUAUACAUCCCAUGCUUUUUAUGACUGUAUAAAAAAUGACACUAUAUACCAAAUUAUCAUGCUUUAUUCUCCCGAACAAAAUGGGGUUGCUAAAAGAAGGUAUAGGACCCUAAGAGAAAUGGUGCGGGAUAGAACAUGAACUGUCAAACUUGGAUUGGAGUUUUGGGGAGAGGUGACUGUCACAUACAUCUUGUGUUCGCAAAAUCGAACCGGAAUGGUAAAUCGGACAUGGGCAUGGAAGUGGUUUAACCGGCCUAACAGGUAAACCGGCUGAUUCAACCGCCCUAAUCGGGCAAGUCUCGAGCAAUAAAAAAAGUGUAGAAAAAAAAAAAAAUCUACUAAAAUAUGAAGAGCAUAUAAAAGAAUGAUUAAAAUAAAACACAUUCAAACGAAGUUGAAAAUUAAUGAAAAAGUGGAUUUUAACCCAUUUUAUAUUUUCCAAUGGCUAUUUUUAAAAUUUUUUAAAAGUUUGAGAAAAUAUAAAAACGAGUAUUAAUGACCAAAACAAUUUUUAAGCUUUACCAUAAUGUAAAUAAUAUUUAAAAAUACAUUACAAAUCAAAUUCCUUAUUUUUGAGAAUUUAUAUAUAUUUUUUUGAUUUUUUUUUUUUAAAUACCAGUUGAUUACCCUAACCGCCCAAAAUCGGAAUCGACCACUAGCCGGUUCCAAUCUAAGCGGGCGGUUAGCGAUUAGAUCGGGCGAUUUUGCGAACAAUGCAUACAUCCUCAACUAGACUCCCACUAAGGCAGAAGCAUCAACUUCAUAUCAUUUUAUUAAGCACUUCAAAGUUUGAGCUUGUUCAACACUUGUCUAGAUCCCUUCAUAAAAUAGAGCUAAACUUGGGCAUAAGACCAUUAAAUGUGUUUUCAUUGGUUAUCCAAAUAUUAGACUUAUCCAAGAGAAAUGUACUCGAAAGUUGUGAUUGACAUUUGUUUGAUGAUGAAUUCCUUGAGGGAAGAGUGAGUAAUAAACGAGUGGUUUUUUAUGAGAAAGAAAGGACAAGCAAAUAAAGAGUUCAACCAUACAAUUGAACCGACCUAAAAGGAGUCAAAGAAUAAAAAGACUACCCGAUUUUUUCACUUACCCAAGUGAGGUGAGGAACCCGAUCAUGAGCCCAUUACAUACUAAGAAGCCAUAAAUUACACCAAAUUAACACAAUGGAGGGACACCAUGGAAGAUGAAAUGGAUUCCAUUAAGUAAAACAAUGUUUGGGAGUUAGUACCACCUAACCAGAGAGCUAUAUGUUGUAAGUGGGUCUUAAAAAGAAACUGAACUCCGAGGGGCAAUUAGAGAAGUAAAUUGUAGCUAAGGGUUUUACUUAAAAGGAAAGGGUUGAUUACCACGACACUUGUUUACUGGUUGCUAAAAUGGGCUCCAUUAUGAUUAUAUUUGCCAUAACCAUCAAAGGAUCAAGUUCAAGACUUCUCUCUCUCAGAAUUGACGGAUUUUGGUGAGUUCGGAGGAAAACAAAAUUGGAAACCCAAAGAGAUCCCAAACACUAAGAAGAGCGUCGACAUCUUCCGAGACAGUUCGUUCAAAGACCUUGAGGUAUCUUUCUUUAGAUUGAGACAUAGAACUAGGAUUCUAUGGACAAGAGAAUACCUGGUGGUUUUUAGUCCCAAAAGUUUCAGUCAAGGUCAGUUUAGCUCAUGGAAAAUUAGUUAAUCAAUCACAGCUUUAAAGAACAACACUGAAAACGUUUUUCAAAAUUUAGCUUCUAGGAGUUCAAUUUGGUAGCAAACUAUUAGAAAUUUUAAAAAAGGAAAAUUUUACAAAAUAAACCCCUUAAUGAAGAUUUCCAUGUCCAUCACUGCAUGACAUUAAACUGCUUAGAAGGCUCCAUGGUUGUAUGUGCUUAAACCGCUAAGUAAGUCAUUUUUCAUAAAAUCUCCUCCUUUCAAAAUGUUCUUUUCAUUUCAGCUUUCUUAAUUCCUAAUUUCUUAAAUUUAAUUUUUAAUUCUUAUUUUUAUAAUUCUAAAUUUCCAAAACUCCAAAUACAGGGGUAGCUCUAAUUUAGAUGCUUUCGAAAUUCUAUGUUGUCAUUUCAAAAACUUUAAUUUUUUUUAUUUAAAAAGGGUAACCUAGUAUCAAUAUGUGUUUCUAAAAACUUCUCCUUGUUUUUCAAAAUUUUCUAAAAUAUUUUAAAACCUAAGGGAGUUGGAUCUGCCUGGAAAAUGAUGGCAUAGUCCCGUCAUUCAUAUUUCAAAUCCGAGUUCUAAGAAAUUGCUUGAUCCAGAGAAUUGAAAGUGCAAUGGGGAAGGGAAAACCUAAGCAAAACCUUCAUAUUGAUGUAUCUUUAGACCUUCUUAAGGACCUCCGAAGUUAUUAGAAGCCUUCAUUAGAAAUCUUUGCUAAAACCAAACUCCCUCAAACUUUCGACCUUUGAGCCCUACGAAGCUUUAGGUGCAAAAGAGUCAAAGGAUUUUGAGAUAAAGAUAAAUUUAUAUUCAUUUAACUUCAUUUCAUUUCAGAUUUCAAAAGUUACAAAUAGUGGCAUAAUGGAACCCAUGCAGCAAUCCCCACAUAUAUUAUGUCAACAUAUGAGAGAACGCUCAGACGUGGUCCUGAAUAGUAGGCUAAGAUAGAAUGGCAAUUAAUAUGCCAAUGGAUCUGAUGGGACAACCAUUUUUUGACCAUUGGUUCUAAGUCUUUCUAGUUUCAAUCAGUCAGUCUCGAGUGUCUACUUCUUUGCCAUCUCCUGUCCCUCCAGGGACAGGGGAUGCCAAAGAGGAGAAACUAUUGACAACCCCUCCGAAUUCAUUUUUAUUUAUGGAUUCUAAAGCCCUAGACACACUAUUCCAAUACACUAUAGGACACACUAAACCAUAGUUAUGCCCAAACCAUAGUCCAGCCCAAAAUAUUCCUUUAACCGAUCCUAAAUACCCCAUUACAGUAAGCCAAAUAUUUCCUAGUGACCCCAAACUAACUAAAAUAGGCAAGCUCCUAUGCAAGUUGGAGAGAAAAUAUUUGAAGGUCUUCAAACCAAAAUUUUCUGAUCAAAAUUGACAAGUGAAUAUCAUCAUACUCAAAAUCCUAGAAAAAUCGGCAUUAAACUUCUACGCUACACAGUGCGGCAUGGCCAAGUGUCACCUCUGGAAUGGCGCAUAUUGCCAACUUCCUGUUUUGUGGUAGUUUUUGCCUAUAAAAAGAACUUUUCCAGCCGAUUUUCACCAAGAUCUCAAUACGAAUAGAAACUCUAAACCUAAUCCCUAAUUAUAAAAACAUGUAGCCUACAAAACCCUAGACUUAAGCCAUUAAAACCCUAGUUCUAGGAUCCUGCUCAAACCAACUUCAGAUAUUGAAAAAAAUGCCUAUUUAGUUAUUCAAAGCCUUAGAUAUGAAAUUCCUCGGCAUCACUCUCUUUCCCAAAGUGCAGUUAAUCAUUUAGGAUCCUAACCUCAAAGAUCAAAGAGCAAUGGCUUAAUCUUCUCCUUCUGAUAUGGACCCAACUCCUAAAGCCCAGCCUUCCAGGUUCUUUCUAUUUUUUGUACCUUAUUUUCUUUAUUUUUUACUAUUUUCUUCAGAUAUUUAGUUUCAUUUGCUUAGUAAAUUUGUUAUUCUUGCUUUCCUUUGUUUCUCUUGUUUCUUUUCAUUAGAUUUUUUAGUUUAAUUAGUAUUCAUCUUUUCUUUCAUGGAAUUUCAUCCUUAUUCUUUUAGUAAAUUUACUUUGCUUGUUUCCUUUUCAAUCUUGUUUUCUCUUUAUUUUGUUUCUUUCAGGUUUCACACCACCUAAGUCAGCUCGGCCACAUAUUCGUAAAGAAUAGGUCUUGUAAAGCUAAUUUCUUCAUAGAUCUGAAUGUGAUGAAACCCCACUCUCUCAACUAUUUAAAUAUUAAGUUUGGAUACAAUCUCAAACAGAUCAAACUUUGAUUAGUGUAGUUAGUCUUAAAAUCACGUGUAAACAAAAGCAACGGGUAAAGGUCUGCUGCAUCCUUAGUAGAGCUCUCUUUUUCAUUGAAUAAAGCAAUGGGUAAGGUUGUGGUGCAUCCUUAAUACAGCUUUGUUGAUCAUGGAUAAAUAAAAUAAUUGGGUGAAAAGAACACAGUAAAUCAAUGGAUACCUCCCCCACAAGAAAAAAACUAAAUUAAAUUUUAAUUGGACUUCCCUUGGGAACCGGGACCUAGGCAGGACUGGAGGUCUAUGCCUGAUUAGAGAUCACAAUGCUCAUUUGUUCUUAUCCUUUUCAGGUCUGGUAGGCAGCUCUAAUACCAGUGAAGAGAAGGCAAAGGCCAAAUUAGAAGGUAAAAAAUUGGUAGAAAACUACUAGGGAGGAGUUAACAAGUGGUGGAGUGAAAUGUGCCAUAGAGAUCAAAUCCAAUUUUUUUCAGAUUAUGGACAUAACAAGGGAUGGGGAGAACACUACAGUCAUCGUCAUGAAGAAUGCAACAUGGACGUACAUUCGCUUGGCAAACAAUGCUCUAGCCAACCAAUUUUUUGAGUCAAUGUAUGUUGAAUGAUGUAUACAUUAAUAAAAGGAGUUGUAUACUACAAGGCCAUUUAGUUUUUACUACAUGGAUGCCACAAUCAAUCCUAGCUAUUGGAUGUGAAACUCGACAACUUGGGUGUGUAUUACAAAGUUCAAGAAAUUUUAUUUUGGAUUUUGUAUCAAUUCAAUGAUAUACC